rnacentral:tRNA from 1 species
AAAGGUAUGGCUCAGUGGUAGAGUGCAUGCCUGGCAGGCCUGAGAUCCUGGGUUCAAUCCCCAUACCUCCA